UACGAAGGGGGCUAGCGUUGCUCGGAAUUACUGGGCGUAAAGGGAGCGUAGGCGGAUAGUUUAGUCAGAGGUGAAAGCCCAGGGCUCAACCUUGGAAUUGCCUUUGAUACUGGCUAUCUUGAGUAUGGGAGAGGUGUGUGGAACUCCGAGUGUAGAGGUGAAAUUCGUAGAUAUUCGGAAGAACACCAGUGGCGAAGGCGACACACUGGCCCAUUACUGACGCUGAGGCUCGAAAGC
rnacentral:rRNA from 1 species